rnacentral:rRNA from 1 species
UUUUGAUCUGGGCUAGAUUGACGCUGGCGGCAGGCCUAACACAUGCAAGUCGAACGGUAACAGGAAGCAGCUUGCUGCUUUGCUGACGAGUGGCGGACGGGUGAGUAAUGUCUGGGAAACUGCCUGAUGGAGGGGGAUAACUACUGGAAACGGUGGCUAAUACCGCAUAACGUCGCAAGACCAAAGAGGGGGACCUUCGGGCCUCUUGCCAUCAGAUGUGCCCAGAUGGGAUUAGCUUGUUGGUGAGGUAACGGCUCACCAAGGCGACGAUCCCUAGCUGGUCUGAGAGGAUGACCAGCCACACUGGAACUGAGACACGGUCCAGACUCCUACGGGAGGCAGCAGUGGGGAAUAUUGCACAAUGGGCGCAAGCCUGAUGCAGCCAUGCCGCGUGUAUGAAGAAGGCCUUCGGGUUGUAAAGUACUUUCAGCGGGGAGGAAGGUGUUGUGGUUAAUAACCGCAGCAAUUGACGUUACCCGCAGAAGAAGCACCGGCUAACUCCGUGCCAGCCGCCGCGGUAAUUAA